rnacentral:rRNA from 1 species
AGUUCCUACGGGGGGCAGCAGUGGGGAAUAUUGCACAAUGGGGGAAACCCUGAUGCAGCAACGCCGCGUGAGUGAAGAAGUCAUUCGUGAUGUAAAGCUCUAUCAGCAGGGAAGAAAAUGACGGUACCUGACUAAGAAGCCCCGGCUAACUACGUGCCAGCAGCCGCGGUAAUACGUAGGGGGCAAGCGUUAUCCGGAUUUACUGGGUGUAAAGGGAGCGUAGGUGGCAUGGUAAGCCAGAAGUGAAAACCCGGGGCUCAACCCCGCGGAUUGCUUUUGGAACUAUCAGGCUGGUGUGCUGGAGG